UAUUUACUGUUAUUAAAUUAAUGAUUAUACCUUAUUUUCUGAUGAUUCAUGAUGAUACACCUACCCCCCCCUUUCCAUUUGUUAUUAUUGGAUCUUCUGAAAUAUACAUGAUAGGUAUUAAUCUGAUUGAUAGAUAAAGGAACAAACUAAGACUAUUGCACUUCAUGUUAAGUAAUUUGCCUAAGUUCUAUCUCUUUCCCAUGCCAGUUUGAACAUGCCUGAACAAGUCCCUAACUUUAGCAUGCAUGUUUUUAUACAUUCAUAUUCUUGAGAAGUUUAAGAUAAUUUUUAGAACAUUAGAAGUUACUACUAUAUUUACAUAAUAAAAACUAUUGCAAUGAAUCACUGUGGAGUUAAAUAAUUUGUAAUAGGGCAUUAGAUCAGAGGAAAGAAGAAGAAGGGAAAGAAAACAAGAGGCAAAGAGAUAGGAAUAAAUAUACAUUUCUAUAUGUAGAGAAAGGCUAAUAAUUAAGACUCACAGGAAUUAUUCCUGGGGCCAGUUUUGACACUUUUAUAAAUGGUCUAGAUGAGGGCUUUCGUACUGAAAUAUCUACUAAAAGCAGACUCUGAUAAAUUAUUGACCUGACUUGCUUGGCUGACAGUUUCAUCUUUCUUAAGGUAGAAGAUGUUACAGUGGGGAAUUGCUACUUUGGGCUUAAUUCUAAUCUCGAGGGAGAGGUGGAUGGAGAUGUGGUGGGGAAAUCCACACAUAGGCAUAUCCUGAUUGUGUGUGUGUGUGUGUGUACACUAAAUCUAGUGGACAAGAUGAUGAUAUGGGUUGGGUGAUAGUGAGGGCAGUUCAUUUGCUUGUUAAACCUAACAUGUAUUAACUAAUAAUUAACGUCAACCUGGAAAGACCUCUCAAAGGACCAAACCUUACAAAUUCCUGGUCCUAGUCAAGAUUUUUAUCAAUGCUAUUCACUAUGUCAUAGAAGUAACUUAUCAGUUAUAGAUGAUAAUGUGACAGGAGGUGAAUAUAAAUAAUGAUUAGUAAAAGAAUUAAGAAUUAAAUAAUUAAAAUAAUCCUGACAGCCUAAACUCCUGGGCCAAAAUCAAUAUGCUAAAGCUGUAUGUCUUCAAUAUUAGCGUUAUUUUUGUUGUUGUUUGUUUUGUAAUACCUAGUGAUGUGCAGGAUGUUUCUGAUGGAAUUGUAAAUUAGUUUGAUUUUUCUGGAGGGUAAUGCGGACAUAUAUAACCAAAGCUGUGAAGUAUUCAUGAUCUGUAAACUGAAUAUUCUGAUUUUAAAUAGAAUAUUAUGUACUUUAUUUUUAUAAAAGAAAGUUAGUGUGUAUAGAUAUACAAAUAUGUUAAAAACAAAACAUGUAUAGAGGUAUAUCCAGGAAUAUGUCAUUGUGGCUGAUAAUUUUAGGUAUGAGAUUUUCUUCUUAAGCUUAUCUAGGUCUUCUAAUUUUUUGUAGAUAUAUGUAUUGACUGCAUGCUAGAAAUGUUAUCACAAAAAGAUAAGAUUGAGGUGGCAGCCAUUUCAAGUGAAAAUUUUUCUGGGUUAUUUGGAGGACAAAAGUUACCACUAGUGUGACAGAGCAGCUAAUAAAAGAGUAUAAUUAGGUUGCAUAAAUAACAAUAAAGCUUCAGUGGGGGUUGGUGGGAGAGGUAGCAAAGAGCUGUUAAGCCCACAUAGUUAUGGUGAUAAUUCUUUUAUAGGAAACAUUUUUAAGUAAGAGUCCUAACAAUACGUAUAAUUUAGUGGAUUGAAAUUUGACAUAUAAAAAAUUUGUAACUCAAAAUCUUUAGCCUACAGAAUUGAUAACUUGGGGAUCUGAGGAGGACAAGCCAGGCUAAUUGUGUUUAAAUACUUGCAGGAUGACAGAAUGAAAGACAUUCUGAUCAUCUCUGUAAACCUUUAAAAAAGACUUGAACAAAUGGGCAGAAGGCUCAGAGAAGAAGAUACUCAGGAUUUCCUAACAUUUAGAAAACCGCAGCAGGCUACAGUAGAAAUAAAUGCAUUCCCUAUCAUAGGUCUGUAUCUUGGAUAGUAAUGAUUGAAAACCCUGCUCAAAAUGAUGUUAAUCAAAAGUCAAAUUUAUUGGCUGAGAAGUGGCUGGCUUAGUCUAUCCUCCAUCAAGCAAAGGCUAGAUGCAUAGUGUUGAUGAUGCCCACAGGACCCAUCUCCCCUCCUUUCAUGUGGUUUUAUCCUGAAAGGAGCUUGGUUUCAUGAUGCAAGAUGGCUGCAGGCCUUUAGAACACCCAUCCUCUAUUUUACAUUUAGGGGAAAGACACACAUCAUCAACAGUAGAGUGAAAAGCCUAGACCUAAUUUUCCUUAGCAAUAGUUGGCCCCUGUUCUCAUCCUCGAACCAAGUACUGUGGGCAGGGUGGUGGUGUAUAGAAUAGUUGUUUUCUAAUGUUUGUUUGUUUGUUUAUUUUUGAGAGAGACAGAGUGUGAGCGGGGGAAGGGCAGAGAGAGAGGGAGACACAGAACCGGAAGCAGGCUCCAGGCUCCAAGUUGUCAGCACAGAGCCAGAUAUGGGGCUCUGAACCCACGGACCUUGAGAUCAUGACAUUAGCUGAAGUUGGACGCUUAACUGGCUGAACCACACAGGUGCCCCUAGAAUAGUUGUUUUCUUACAAAGCCAGACAGGGCCUCCCAUCCCCCCACCUGAGGAUGGGGUCAAACUCAGGUAAACCCCCUGCACUGAGGAUAUGGAGGAGUGGUUUCUGAAAAGCAAUUCACACUAAUCGUUUAUCAGGAAAAUUGAUGACUAGACAAUGGGCUGCAAAAAUGACAGAUGCCUAUUAAAACUAGGAUGACAAGUGUAACUGGAUGAUUUCUUAGGUUCUUUCCAAUGCCAAGAUUCUAGAAGGCUGAGAUUCAAUUUGCAGUUGGUGCUAAGAUUUGCAGGGAGAGAAAUAUAAAAGGAAAUACGAAAGGAAUUGAUGAUGAACUCCAGGAAGACAUUACCAGGCUGCAAGAGAAUAAUGGAAAGCAAUGCUGUUGGGCAGGCAAAGGUAUUAAAGGGGGAAACAAUUUGAAACAUGGAAAUUCCUUUACAGUUGUGAGCUUUUGAGCUUAAAAAAAAAAAUUGAGAUUCUGUCAGUUAACAUGUAUCUCUCCCCCAAAGCAUUCUCUGUCUCUACUUAAUCAAGCAUGCAUUUUGUGCUGCUUUUUUCCUCCUCAUUUAACAAGCACACGUGUGCACACACACAUGCACUCUGCCUAGUAGUUUGCAAAAAAACAGAAAGUAGCAGAUAUCUUUUCAAAACACAAAACGCUCACACAUGCACUUAUGUAUAAUCCAAUGCUCCAAAAAAAUGUAGUCAAUUAUAGAUUAUUUAGGUUUGACAGAUGCCUUUCAAAAUUCAUAUGAUCUCUGGAAGGGUUAAGAUUCAUUCACAGAGCAAAUUGCUUUAAUCAGAUAAUCAGAUCACCAGCUCCUUAGGGCUGCUGGCUCAGCAAAAUUUCUCCUGCAAAUUUACAAUUUUAUUUGAGAGCGGAAGGAGAGAGGGAGGGCCAGGGUUUGGGAGCAGAUGGUGAUUUUGGGGUACACCUUAGGCAGCCAAUAGACCACUUAAAGAAAUGUAGGGGAAGACAAGGGAGAGAAGGAAACCAAGAAGGAGUGGAUUUAGAAAGACAGUAACAAGAGAAUUUUGCCUAGAACCAUCUCAACUCUGUAUAAACCAACUGGACAUAAUGAACAUCGCUGCUUCCCUAAAUCUCUAUAGCCCCUCUAAUGUCCCCCUUAUGAGCUCCCCACUCUUUUAACUCUUAAGAUAUAAGGAGGAAGGAAAGGAUAAAGAGGCUAAGCCUGCAAAGAGGAAGGUCUUAUUCAUGUGCCUAUCUCCUUGUCCUUUGUAUUCUUCGUACUAUUUCAGGUUGUAAAGCCUGGGAUUUGCCUUUUUUAGGAUAACUACAGUGCAUCCCCCAGGAACACCAAGGGCAAUGCCCUUGUACAAAACCUUAGAUCAUCUGCACUAUAUGUGGUUCUGGUUGAUGAACCUUAAAAGAGAGGAAAUGGAGCUAGAAAAGGUCUAGAGAAGGGCAGAUAAAAUGAUCAGAGGGAUAAAAAAGGGUGCAGGAUGAGAGCAGAUUAAAAUGAUCACUUUUCUUCAUGCUGCCCUCUACAAAACUAUGAAGGGCACAGACAAGGUAAACACAGACUAGAUGGCCAGACCCUGCAGUGCCAUAACCAUGGGGAAAGCCACAGGAGCUUAGGGAGAGCAGAGAGAUGAAUAGAAGACUAGCUUUGUACAUAGCACAGAUACAUGUGUACAAUUCCCUACCCUUCAGUAGCAGUAUAAGCUAAGUAACUAUAAGUAGGUUUUGAUAGGUUUGUGAUGGAAAAACCCAUAAUGAGUUUUGAUCAAAACAAGCCCUGCAUCUUUCAUUUUUGCUGUGGAUACCUUAAAAUAGUGGUCUUCAAACUCGAUUGAUGAUCAGACUCACCUACGGGUGCUUUUAAACUGCGUUUAGCUUCCAUAGCCCUACCUGAGAUUUCAAAAAUAAAACUUUUGGGAAACAAUAAGACCCCAAAAUUUGUGGUCUACAAAAGAUCAGCUGACUCUGAUAGUCACAGGACUGAGAAAUACUGGCCAAAAGGCUGCCGCUAGCUGCCCUAUGUGAUGAGGAGAUAGCAUGGCCUGUGGGAUCAGGCAGACCUGGGUAUAAUUCUGACUGCUGCUUUUCACGGUGUGACUUGGACAAGUUACCUACCCUCUCUGAGCCUGAGUCGAUCUUAUAGGGUAUUAAAUAAAGGAUUUGGUGCUGAGUAAAUACUAGCCUAUGUCUCCCCACCCCAGCCUCCAACCAGGUUCUGUGGAUUGUCAAUCACAGAAUCCUGGGCUAGUGAGAUUCUGGAUUUAAGCACAUUGAUAGUUCUUUUUUAAAUUUUUUUUUAACAUUUAUUUAUUUUUUGAGAGACAGAAAGAGAUGGAGUGCAAGCAGGGGAGGGGCAGAGAGAGAGGGAGACACAGAAUCUGAAGCAGGUUCCAGGCUCUGAGCUGUCAGCACAGAGGCCGAUGUGGGGCUCAAACUCAUGAACUGUGAGAUCAUGACCUGAGCAGAAGUCAGAUGCUUAACCGACUGAGCCACGCAGGUACCCCAAGCACAUUGAUAGUUCUUAUACAUUAAAGUGUUUGUCUCUGAGAGGGAGAGAAGACGACUGUAUAGAAAGGCGUGAAGGUGGACAUGCCAUCUUCUCCUCUCCUACCUCUAUCUUUUGUAUUUCCAUUUAUAGGUAGAAUAAUGAAAGAAGCAUAUGUUUCUGAACUAUCAAGUUUCCACUUACUGGCUUCAUGGUGUUUUGAGAUAAUUUGUCAGUAUUUUGGGGUUUUGGUUUCUGUUGAGGUCUGCACCUCUCAAGAUUAGUUUACAGAUACCUCUGUGAAGUUAAAACUAAAAGGAAAAACAAAUCAGUGGAGAUCUCGGAAUGUGUGUGAACACGUAUUGGGCAGUUGUGCACUGAAUCAGCUGGUGAACAUUCUUUACUGAGUUGCAGUAAAGAUCUAAGGAAAUGAGCAGAGAGGAGACAUAAGGCAUGGGAGGGGACAACUAAGAAGGGAGUUUCUUCAAGAGGCAGGUUGCUUUUAAGGCAAAUGCAGGUGUCCUGAGAAAAGAAAAGGAAAACAGAAUUCCAGGCUCCUGCGGAGCCAGCAGGACAGGAAAGUGGGGUCACCUAAGAUGCUGUGGGUCACUGGGCUAUAGCUCUGCUCCGGUGCCCACCUGGUCAUGGGGCUACUGCUUUGUACGGGGUUGCAUGGGUGUUUUCAAACCCCAACAGACUUGCAGGGAGAGAUCUGCCUUAUGGGGUCAGUGGGAAGGAAAUGUAGAGGUAGUGAACCUAUGGCACCGAGUCUUCCCAAAUACAAUGUCAGAGAUGGUGUGUCCAUUUCCCCAGCCCUCUCUUCUCAUUAUUGCAUUUGGAGACUCUCAGGGAUUCUGUCCAUCAGUCUCUGUUGUAUACCUGUUUCUGUCCCAGGUCUCUAGCUGGUUAUUGAGGAAGAUUCAUACCUAACAGAAUGGAGAACAAGAAUUUUCCUGUUACAGUGUAAUUGGGGCCGGCACCCAAGGCACGGGUCAAAAGCUAAGUAUCUAUAUUCCAGAUUCCAAGAGUCACCAGCAGGUGUGACUAAACGUCUCCCCAAAGAAUUUACCGAGGAGACUCUCCCCGAGACCAUAGGCGAAGGUCUAGACAUAGAGAAUCCUGCACAUGUUUGAAAAACAGUUUCCAAUAUGAAUAGUUGGGGUGAGAGAAAAGGUCUGAAGGAAAGAGGAAGGGGCCUUAAGUAGUUCAUACUUAUUUUGGAAGAGAAGUAUAAGAUACUUUAUCAUCUGUCUUCUGUUUUGGGGAAAAGACUGUAGGCUUGUAUAGACCUGCUUUAUUUUAUUUCUUAAUUAUAUAAGAAAUAUAUAGACAUAUUCCUAAUUUAGAAAUUAGAGUAUCAAAGAGAAAGGCAAGCCAGUUUUGCCACAACUCUAGACUAUAUACAUAUACAUGUAUAUGUGUGUAUAUAUGUGUUUAUGUAUAUGUGCAUAAAUAUGUGUUUAUAUGUACGUAAAUAUGAGUACACAUACAUAUAUACAUAUGCAUGUAUGUGUGUGUAUAAAAUCUCUAAUAGAUAUCCAUAAAUAGUAUGAAAUGAUAUGAUAUUGAUUUUUUUCUAAUGUGGCUUUUUAGUAUUAUUCAGUUUGUCUUUUUUAUAGCAAAUUUGUGUGUGUUUUUUUUGUUUUGUUUUUUUUUUAAAUUAUGAAGCUGAGAUAACCCAGAGAAAGUAAAGCAGAUUGUUAAGAGCCUAGAUUGUGGAGCAAAACUGCUUGGCUGUGUGACCUUAGACAAGUUAUUAAUGUUUCUGUUCCCCAGUUCUUCAUUGGUACAAUUGGGAUAUAAUAUGGUGUUCCACACAGGUUUGUUGUGCUGAUUAAAUGAAUUGAUACAUGUAGACCAUGUAGAAUAGUGCCUGACAUAUUGUAGGCGCCAUAUAAGUAUUACAAAUAGAUCAGGUUCGUUAUUUAACAGCAAAUUCUAAUAUACGAAUAUACCAUAUUUUAUUUAGUGAUUCCCCUACUGAUUGACAUAUUGGCUCUUUUCUAAUUUUGCAUUAUUAAAAACAAUUCUGCAAUAAAUAUUUAAUCAAUUUAUAACACGUUUUGGGAACAUGUGUUACAACUGAUAUGGCAAAUGCUACUGUUAUAAAUAAAUGCUUUUGAAAUCACAUUGAUGCUAAGAAUUUGAUGUAACUUCUUUCUGAUUUACACACUUGAGAUCAUUUUUCCCAUCUUUGAAAUGACUUGAGAGAAGCUGUAUCCCAAAGAUUUAAUGAGGUUAUGUCCUUUUAACUGUCAAGAGCUCCCAAUUCUUUACACUGAUAUUCUUUUGAAUUGUUGAUAAUUAAUCAGGAACAUCAGUGGUGAAAUGUCACAUAGAUAUCACUCUAACCCUUCGAUCUGUAUCUUUAAAGGGAGGCUUUUCUCUCUGUCUGCUGGCCUGUCAUUGCCAAGCUUCCCUCUUAUUAACCUUGAAGUCACAUGGAACAGACUCUCCUGUGAUUUCAUCAUAUCUCCCAUCUGAAGAGAUGCUAUCACACUCCAAAAAAAUAAAUUAAAAGCACUGCAUUACCCCCACACGCAGGCAGGUCACAGGUUUAAUUUUUUUUCCCCUAGUGGGGCUUCUUGCCCAACCUGUCACAGACAAGCAUUUACAGAUUUCUCUUUGAGUCUUCUAUCAGUUUGCAUAGAACAUUUUAUUAUUGAUAAUUGUUCAUGAAAUUCUCUUUCUUCUGAUAAAGCCAAUCUUCUCUGAGUUUUAUGGAAAAUGAGUUAUUUGCUUCUUUAAAAUGCUUCAACUUCCCAAUGGUGAUAACUUGAUUAGUAAAAAUGGUAAGACAAAUUUUUAUGAAAGCUUUCCGAUGUCUUUAUAAAUUAAACAAAAUGUAAAAGACUCUUUGUCCGGUGCAUGUGAAGAAGUAUCCCAUGUGCAGGUUUUCUUGGAGUUAGCACAAGUUGCUAGGCCCUAGGAGUGACCCUGGACAAAAUGAUGAAGUCUGGGAAGUUGGACUUGAACCUCCUGGCUUUCUCUUCAAUAUCCACAAAUCUCUUGACUGCUUUGAGCUACAGAUGUUCUGUUUCCAGUAAUCCUUUCCAGCCAAAUGUCUCUGCUUUCUCUACUACUGGAAAUAUCAGAAUAAUGAGAGGGUGUAAGAAUUUCCAGGAAAGAGUGAUAUUUAGCAAGAAAGAGAAGUGGGGGGCGGGGUGACAAGGGCUAGAGCAUGAUCUUAACUUGGGAUGAAGGAGACUUCAGUUGAAUUGAUCAAGUGGAACAAUUGUCAGCCAGAGACAGUGACGUAAAUGCAAGAUUUUGUUUUAUUUCCAAAGCAUCAGACACUGGGUUUGCACAGAGCUGAGGGUCAAAGCACACUGAGGAAGAGUCUGUAGGGUAAGUUUGUUGAAACUGAAAUUUAGAAGCUUCCAAGUUUGGGUUGGCAUUGAAUACAGUCCACAGAACCAGGUGUCAGGGGUGCUAGGGGUAAAACUUUGGAAUAUGUAAGGGUCAAGUCUCAGGCUGAAAGAGCAGCCAGGUUGCUUGGGCCAUGGCAAGUUGUAAUGGCAAGUAUUUUGUUGUUGUUGUUGUUGUUUCAAUUGGAUGGGUAAGAGGGUUCUCUUUCACUCAGUUUCAUCAGAUUCCUGGGUCUUAAAGGGUCCUAGAGAACUGGGCACAAACCUCAUCUUUAGAGUUUCUUGGUCACUGCCAUUGUUAGUGAAGCCCCUUCUGCAAUGCUUUGUUUCUCACAGCUCUCUGGUCCUUUGUGUAUACUGGAAACUGGAAGCCUGAUACCCUUCACAGGUAUCCUUCAGUCCUGCUGUACAUACAACCAUCAUUGCCCACCCUUCCCACUCUGAAGCUUCUAACAUUACUGGAAUGAUGAUGUAUCCUAUAAUGUCACAUCUCAGUGCCUUAUUUGAGUAAAGUGACCUGACUAUCAUAUCACUGCCCUUUCCCAACCCAAGCAGCUUUCUGGGUCCCCUCCCACCCUCAGAGGACUCCUUACUUACCCCUGUCGGGGUUUAACUUUCCAAAACCAAGCUUUAUACCCUGACCUCCAAAGAGCUAUCAACACCUUCCUACCUAAGACAAGUGAUCCUGGAAUUAGAUCUUAGUUCUUGUGAAAGGAGAAAACUCUUUAUUUUUUAUUUUUCCACGGUAGAAAAAUACCAUUUAAUCUGUCAAGAAUUCCCUUUUAUAUGGGUUUGCCCUUUCUACUUUUUCCUUUUGUGAGGGGAGAGAAUUCUACCCUUUACCCAUGAAGGUUUAGAAUCAGAGAAAAGAUAGGGGAAAUUCCAUGGAGUUUUGUCUCUUUUCUGUUUCAAGUGACACUAUACCUACUAACCUGACAUGGAGAAUAAAUUUGAUUUAGUCCUUAGGGUUCCCAGGGAAAAAGUUAGGAAUGAGGUACACUUAAGGAUUAGACUUCUUUAAGGUGCCUGGAGGUCUAUUCCUAUGACUUUUUGAGAGUGGGAGAGUCUUUUUCACCAGAUUUUCCAGUAUUUGGAGACUUUUCUGCUCUAUCAUGAUUUUGUUCAGAACACCCUUCUUCCUUAGUUUUGUUUUAAUGUUCGCCUCUGCCCCCAAUCCUCCCUCAACUUCAAGACAAACUCAUCUUCCAACUCUUUCUCACAUGUGUAGGUACAUAUUUUGCAUUUUCUAGUAGUUUUUUAUAACAUUAAUGGAUUUUUAAAUACUAGUCUGCCAUCUCUGACAUCUAAGAACAUUUGCCUUUUAUAUUAUUUCUGCCUUUAUUUAUGAAGCUCCUGCCAAAAAGACAAAUUAGAAUUCAUUUUCCACAUUAAUGAAGAUGUCUAAACCAACUUUGAUCCAAAUUAAAAUGAAAAGGGUGCUGGUGUAUUUGAAAACUGAAAAGGUAAGCUGUGAGGGCAUCAUUGGCAAAUUUAAAAAUUGUGUGUGACAGGGGCACCUGGGAGGCUCAGUUGGUUAAGCAUCUGAUUUCGGCUCAGGUCAUGAUCUAGCAGUUUGUGAGUUCGAGCCCCACGUCGGUCUCUGUGCUGACAGCUCAGAGCCUGGAGCCUGCUUCAGAUUCUGUGUCUCCCUCUCUCUAACCCUCCCCCCCCCCCACUUUCUCUCUCUCUCUCUCUCUCUCUCUCUCUCUCUCUCAAGAAUAAAUGUUUUUUAAAAAAUUGUGUAUGAUGAUACUUGCAGACAAGGUCUUGGCUCAGCCAUCAGCACUUUGAUCACGACCUUGGGUAAUUUUGACAUGAGUGGUACUUGGAUCCCACUUUGGGAAGCAUCACAGUGUUUUCUAUCUUACAUAGAUAUCGUCAUCUAGAUCUAUGGGUUAUUUAUGUUAAUGUACUCCUUGGAAAAGCAGUGCAAAGGGAGUUUCAGUGUUAGAUGAGGCAUGAUACUCUAAAAUGUUCUUUUUGGUAAACUUAACAGAGAGGAUGUUUGACACUGGAUUGAACUAGAUGUAAAAAGGCACUAGACACUGGUGUCUGAGAGAACUGAGCUCUGAAAUCCUGCUCUCCUAGUAAUUUUGCGUGUUGUUUGAAAGUCAUUCAACUUCUUCCAGAGUCUAUUUCUUCAUAUCUAAAAUGAUGUGUUAAUAAUAUUUACCUGAAGGGUUGCUGAGAAGCCGAAAUGCAUCAGUGUGUGGAAAUCACUUGGUAUACUUUGUAACACAUAUAGAAUUUUUGCACCUGAUGCCUAUAACUUCUACAGUGCAGGCAUAACUUUGGGUGCAUACAUGUAAUACACAUAUAUGCAUGCACAGACACACAUGCAGAAAGCAGGGAGAGGAGGAGAGGGAGAGAGAGGGAAGGCCUGGCAGGGAGAUAGGGACUCUUGUUUUGGAAACUCUCUAGUCUCAAGAAUUACAUAUUUUACCAGGCACAAUUCCUAGGUAACUAUUUUAGGUACAUAAAGAAUAUACAUGUGUAGGAGUCUAAUUUGAGAGAGAAAAAUGCUAGAACUAGUUGUGACUUUUAUCUCUCUAAUGAAUACUUACAUCUUUUGGUUCACCCUCCCAGCGAGUCAAGCAUUCCUUCCCAUUGCAUAUUUCUUUGGAGGGAGCUGCAACUGCCGCUACUCCUUCAAAAAGUUGCUCGCACAGGCAUAGACAAAACCCUUUUAGAUGAAAAAGAAAAAAAAGUAAACAAAUGGAAAAAAUAUUUUCACACACCCCUGAGAGUGCAAUGUUGGGGCAAUCCAAGAAUGCAUUUAUAUUUUCUUCCUACUGGGAAAUCUGUUUGCAUCAAUGCCCUUCAAUGCUAUUUGACAUUUAGGACUCGAGAAAGAUAAAAAUAUGGGUGUGGAAUUGAGUUAGCAAAGUUGAGGUAGAAAGUAGUCCUUAAAUGUGCUUAAACAUGCUUAUGUAGAUUCCUUUAAACUUUGUUUUGUUUCAUCAAAUCAUAAAAGCAUGUUUUAAAAUUAUUAUAGAAGUUGGAGACUGUCAGUGAGAUAAAGGGCUGUAAACUGCCAGAUAUCUAGGAGACUGGCCUGGGCAGACCCUUUUGAAACCCAGAGGAUCGUCUCUUCCUCAUUAGCGAAUAUCAUUUUCAUAAUGGGGGAAAGGAGAAAGGAAGAGAAUAUCCAAUGUAACUUCAUGAUAGCUCAGAUAAUGUGUGGCCUCAGAUCUCACAAUUCAAGGUAGAGGAAAACUCUGAACCCCUGAAUUACAGUAGUCAGUUAUUUUUCUCAUCGCUCCUAAUCAAAGAUAGCUUCCCCUCAUUUUCACUGCCCCUCAUUCUGUCCUCUUUCUUCUCAUUUAAUCAGUUCAGGUUAUUCCAUUGAGAAUGCUAAACUGAAAAUCCUAGGCUGGCAUCUUGUGUAUCCGUAAGACAGGGAGAGCUGUAAGGGCCCCUGCUGUAGGUACUAUUCCCCCAGGGCCUUCAGCCCCAACCAGGGAGGCUGAGCUAUUAAUGAGGAGUAUAAGGCUUCCUUGCUUAUUCAGCCCUUGUCCUCUCUCCUGAGACUGCCAACAAGAGAAGCAAUUAGGGCCAAUUGUGGUGGUGGUUGGCUGCCUUUUAAAAUAGAAACCAUCUCAAAAUCCGUCUAAGAACGUGCCUUACUUUCAGCUUCCCUAUAGACCACAGAGACAUUCAGUGACAGUGCUGAGAAUUACCCAGAUUAUCCAUGGAAGCCAGUAAUAGUCCAAUUACCAACACUUGUUUGCAGUCUUUUAGUGAACUUUCUCUGAAGUUGGGAAAGAGUAUGCUGCAAUAGGGCUGAGGCUGAUGUCGGGGUGGGGGUUGUUGGAAAAACUGUUCUGAGAAUAAAGUUGUUUUGAUCAGUGACUCAAGAUUCCCUUAGAUUAGGUGACAACUGGAGGCUCUGAUGUGUUUUCAUAACACAUAAUUGUGUUAUUACCAUUAAUAACAUUACCAUUGUGGAGAAAUGAUUUUUCCACAGACUAUGGAAUCUCCCAUCCAAGCCUGUGUUCAUUGUAUGUUUGCUAUAUUGACUUGAGGGAAAGUUGGUGGGGUUUUGGUGUGGUUUUUUUGUUUGUUUUUAAGAUCCUAUGUAUUCUCUUCAUGAAUUAGAUAAUCCCAAAACUAAUAGGAAACUCUAAACAAAAGCUGAAAACCAAUGUGCUUAUCUGUCACCUGUUUUAACACUUUGAGUAGGAUUCUCUUGCUUUGUAUUUAGAGGGAUGAUGACCCAAUUUAGAAUAAACUAGAGUAUGAGAUAGCUUUUUUAAAACUGUCUCCUGCUAUUGUUAAAAGUUCCAGCCUUGAGGGAAAGCAAAGAAACCAAAACUUAUUUUCUCUGUGAGCAAGUUUUCCCUUGUCAAUUCAAAAAAGGAUUAUAUAGAUAAAUACUAAAUGCUUAAUUUCCAUAAUAAAGUAAUAAGUGAUGCUUUGCCAUUUCUUCUCUUUUUUAAGUAGAGCUAUUAAUAUGCUGUUAUUUGGAGUCUAUGAUCUUACCUCUAGCUGUCUGAUAAUAAAUCAGGAGCUAUCAUUCACGGAGACAGGAGAUGACUACAUUACUUCAGUCAGAAUUCUUUGGAACCCUUAGUUUUAUCCAUCAAUUUCUGCAAUGAUAAAGGAACCAUAUGGGAGGAUCUUUCCAUUUUUUUCUUCUGCCAGCCCCCUAUUUACAUUCAAACUUCAUCUUUUAAAACCAUUUCUAAAUAUUUCUUUUUACUUACAGUCAGUAUCUUUUAAAUGACAAUAUUAACAUACAUGCAGACCAUCGUAGCUAUAUUUCUGGAGUACUGGAAAUUGUGCAAUUUAUGUGCAUAAGCCAUUUGCUCAUCUCUUCCUUUUAAGAGCAUCUGUGUUUCUCCAUGACAGCUCAUUUCUGUAGUUUAUAAUUUUCAUUUGGAGUAUUCUAUACCCUAGACCAUUCUACACUGGGCAAUGGCAGCUGCACCUCCUCAGAUAGGAUUCUAUUGAAAAAUCCUGGGUUCUGCCAAUAACUAUCUUGGGAGGAAGGCAUAGGUGUGUGUGUGUGUGUGUGUGUGUGUGUGUGUGUGUGUGUGUGUGUGUGUGUGAGAGAGAGAGAGAGAGAGAGAGAGAGAGAGAGAGAGAGAGAGAAAGAAAAUGUGUAUAGAGGAGUUUAUGUGUUAUUUGGGUAUCAACCUAUAUUUCUCCAAUUGUUCCCUUUAGGUCUUGUGUAGCUUAUUAGCUCUUUGCUGGCUCAGGAUCCUCUGGCCAUCCUGUCACUACCCUUUACAGGAGAACAGAUUGCUGCUGGGCCCAGAUUGUUUGCACUAGAACGCACUGAAUGUCCAGGGAAAAGGAGAACCUUCUAGAGUUUUACAAAUUUUAGUAUGUUGAACAAUGACCACCCAAAGAUAUCAAGUCCUAAUCCCUGGAAUUUGGAAAUCGUCCCUUAUUUGGAAAAGGAUUCUUUACAGAUGUAAUUAAGGAUUUUGAAAUGAGGGGAUUGCUCUGGAUUAUUUGGUUGAACCCUAAAGGCCAUCACAAGCUUUAGUAACUACCUCUAAGUGUCCUUAUAAGAGGAAGGCAAAGAGCUGUUAACAGAAACAUGAAGAGAAGGCAGUAUUAAGACAGAGGCAGACUACUAGGUGUUUAUCUAAAGAAUAUAAACAUGCUUAUUUGAAGGGGCACAUGUACCCCAAUGUUUAUAGCAGCCUAAUUGUGGAAAGAACCUAAAUGUCCAUCAAUUGAUGAAUGGAUAAAGAAGAUUUGGUGUGUGUGUGUGUGUGUAAGUAUAUGCACACACACACAUAUACAUGUAUAUACACAUACAUAUACAUGCAAUGGAAUAUGUAUACAUAUAUAUGCAUAUAUAUAUACAUAUACAUGCAAUGGAAUAUUAUGCAGUGAUCAAAAAGAAUGAAAUCUUGCCAUUUGCAAUGAUGUGGAUGGAACAAGACUGUAUUAUGCUAAGUGAAGGAAGUCAGUCAAAGACAAAUACUGUAGGAUUUCACUCAUAUGUUGAAUUUAAGAAACAAAACAGAUGAACACGGGGAAAGAAAGGAAAAAUAAAGUAAGAUAAAAACAGGGAGGGAGGCAAACCCUAAGAAACUCUUAGAGAACAAACUGAGGGUUAUUGGAGGGGAGGUGGGUAGUAAGGGGAUGGGCUCAAUGGGUGAUGAGUAUUAAGAAGGGCACUUGAUGCAGUGCCUGGGUGGCUCAGUCGGUUGAACCUCUGACUUUGACUCAGGUCAUGAUCUCACAGUUCGUGGGUUCCAGCCCCGCGUCAGGCUCUGUGCUGACAGCUCAGAGCCUGGAGACUGCUUCAGAUUCUGUGCCUCCCUCUCUCUCUGCCCUUCCCCCCACUCAUGUCUCUGUCUCUCAAAAAUAAAAAUAAAUGUUAAAUUUAAAAAAAAAGAGGGCCCUUGUUGGCAUGAGCAUUGCAUGUUGUAUGUAAGUGUUGAAUCACUAAAUUCUACUCCUGAAUCCAAUACUAUAUGUUAACUAACAUGGAUUUAAAUAAUAAUAAAAACAAAAGACAGAGGCAGAAAUUGAUAGCGGUGCUGACACAAGCCAACAAGAACCACUGUAACUACCAGAAGCUGGAAGAGGCAAGGCGGAGGCUUCCCUAGAAUCCCCUAGAAAGGGUGGCCCUGCUGGAUUUGGACUUUGUGCAUCCAGAACUGUGAGAGUGUGACUCUGUGUCAUUUUCAGUUAAGCCAUUGCCCUGUGGUAAUUUGUUCCCGUGUUCUUAGAACACUAACGUGUAGGUGAGGAAAAAUAACACAGGAUGUAAUAUUUCAUAAAUAUUAUGCCUCCUAGACUUAUUAAAUUAUCAGAAAUGUUGAGGAUUUUUAUGAACAUCACAGUUGGGCAUCAUCCCCCUUCUCCUCCUUUACAGCUGCCUUGUUAAAUAUGGGAGCCACUAGCCACAUGUGGCAAUUGAAUAAUUGAGAUGUAGCUACUGGAACUAAGAAAUUGAAUUUUUAAUUUUAUUCAAUUUUAAUUAACUUAAAUUUUUAAAACUUGUAGUUGAUUCAGUUAUUGGAAAGCUUUUCAGCAUGCUUGGAACAAUUUAGGUAUGUGAAUUUACUUUUUCAACUGUAAAUUUUAUGAAAUAUAAAUAUACAUCAAAUAUUCCAAUGAAAAUUUAUUCUCCAAACGGAGAUGUGCUCUAAGUGUAAAAUAAAUACCAUAUUUCAAAGACUUAUUAUGGAAAAAAUGCAAUAUAUCUUACCAAUAUGUUUUAUAUUGAUUACAGGAUGAAAUGAUAAUAUUUUGGAUAUGUUAGAUGAAAGAUAUUACUAAAAUUAAUUCCAGUUAUAGUAAUAGAUCUGCAUUCUGGUAGCUUACGGACCAAACCAGUCAUUCAGCUUGCCAUUCACUUGGGACAAGCUUUGACCACAUGUCCAUUCUCAUGGCUGGUCAUUUCAUUUGGUGUUUUGUUCAAUGAAAACAACCAUGUUUUGAAUUAGAAUUUAAACAUAAACAUUUAACACUGCCUUCACUCCUGAUAGAGCAUACAAAAGAAAAAUAAUUAAAGAUUACAAGAUGUGUUCUUGAUGGUUACAGUUUGAAGAUGUUUUUUAGGGCUUGGGAAGUAUAUACUGUCUUAAAGCAGUUGAGUUUCCGAAGCUUCAGCAAAGAUAUUCCAGUCCUAUUUCCAGUAGCUCUUGAUAGUUCUGGGUGAAACAGCAAUAUUUUUAUUCUUGCUUUGCUUUAUUUGCCUCAUGGAUCUCUUCCAAAUAUUUAAAAAAUAACAUUAUUAGUUAUGUAAAUAAAUUUAUUUUAAUUGAUUUAAAAUGACAUUUCACUUGAGAAGUGCAAUAAUGUUUUUACUUUCUCUACCAUUACAUUGAAUAUAUUCUGUAUUUUAAAGAAUUAUUAUCUUCAGGCAAUUACCAUAGUGAAAAAUAAUUCUGAAAAACCAGGAUUGUAAGUAAAAAGGGUUUUAUCUACCAAUCUCUAUUGGACUGAUUGUGGAGCCUAAAACUAUAAGCAAUAAACAACACUUGAGAGUAGAAAACCUCUUGUACUUGGUAUUUAAGUAGUUCAGUGUUGUUUUGCUUCUUCUCCUCUUAAUUCUUCAGUCAAUACAUGUCUUCCCACGGGUCCCUCCUACAUUACUGCCACACCUAACCCCAGAUCCUGCUGACUUUAGAGGCCAUCUACAAAGAGAACAGACAUUUUUGUCCCAGAAACUACAGGAGUUAGCAAGGACUUAAUGGUCUCGUUUCACAGAUGGGGGAUAGUUUAGAGUCAGGGCCAGGGCUAGCACAGAGGGUCUUCUGAUAUCACAUCUAAUUAUCUUUCUGCUAAAUCAUACUUUUCCACUACAAAUGACCUGAAGAUAUCCUGAAUGUUAUGCACUCUUAGAUGAUCUCCUAAUUUCCAAAAGAAUCUGAUCAAAAGUGAAAGGCCACACCUUGUGAAAACUAGAAAUUGGUGGAUGUUUGUUCUAACACCAGUACUGCUGUGGACAUCUGCUGAAUUUGCGAUGGGCUGUCUGUUCAUUCACCCCUCAUGCUUUACCCAGAGUGUUUGCUGCUAAAAUAGGGUUAUGUUUGUAAGGCAAGCACCCUACACAGAGAUAGUCCCUACAAUUGUAGUAGCUGUGUCCCCUGAUACAUAUGAAGUCCCAUGUGAAGUUUUUAAGAGGAAACUAAAUUCUUUGUCAUAUGCCAAGUUUUCUGGACCAGGGUAUUAAUAUUUAUGUUCUAAGUUUUUAAAAUUAAAUUUAUUAUUAAUAUAGUAUUCUAACCUUCAAAGCCAAAUACUAGUUAUUUGAUUUUAUGCAUCCUGACAUAACAAUUUGAAGAAAAAUUAAUACCGUAGUUCACACUGACAGAGUUUUAAACACUUUUAAAGUGCUAUGUGUUUAAUAUCUAGCUUUGCUUUUCAAUGCUCAAGCUCAGAAACCUCAAGCCUAAAUAUUGCCUUUCUUAAAAUGUCUCUUUCUUUUGUACUUUAUGUCUUCCUAGAUUAUAUUUGAUGUCUUACCUCAUGACCUGAUUGUUGGUCCACAUUCAGAGAUCCUACCUCGGUGGGUUUAGUAACUGGACUGGGGUAGGGUGUAAGUCGCCAUGAUGACAUAGUCAGGAAAAGCACACAUCGCCAGAGGUGUAUGUAAUGGCUCUAAACACUAAGGUGCAGUAUGUUGCAUCGAGAUCCUUGGGUUUUUCUCCUCUCUGAGUUUUAUAUUCCUAGUCUGGAAGACUAGAAUCAUUCCAGGACUAUCUAUCUCAUGGAGUUGUGAGGAUAAUAUGGAAUAGAAUACUCAUGCAGUUUAAAAAAUUAAUUAACUAUGAAACACAAAAUAACACAUAACUGCGAUAGGGACUCUAUUUGAAUACGAUGCUGAAAGCAAAGGAAAGAGAAGAGAGGUAGGAUGGCAGGAAAGGGGAAGACCGGGGCUUAGGAUGAAUUAGGCUCAUAGUUGCAAUAUUGGUGUUUGGGGGGGGGGGGUCUUAUUUUUUCCUUAAAAACUUGAAGUUUGAGCUCACUGUGUGUGACUGUGAAAAAUGUACAGAACUUUUUCACAUACUGCAGUAGCAGAUUUUGAUAGAUUGGACAGUGACAUUAAUUUUAUGAUUUGCAUUAUUAAAACAAGAUUAUGCACAGACAGUGCUUUAAAAAUUGUAAACAUGCGUUGAAAUUGUAUGGAUUAUCAUUAUUGUCAAAUGAUGUGUGUGGGAGUUUAUGUUGUUGAGUGCAGUUUGCAUCUUUUGGAGAAGGAAGAGCCUUGUAGUUUAAAAUGGAGGGAACCUGUGACAGCUGAUUCUGGGGAUCUCCUGUUGAAAUUUUUAAAAUUUAUCUUGGUGUUACAUAAAAGUCUUUUUUUUUUUUUAAUUUGAGAGAGAGAGAGAGAGAGAGAGAGAGAGAGAUAACAAGAGCGCACACACAUGCAAGCGGGGGAGAGGAGCAGAGGAAAGGGAGAGAGAAUCUUAAGCAGGCUCUGUGCUGAGUGAAGCUCCAUCCCAUGACCCUGGGAUCAUGACCUGAGCCAAAACCAAGGGUUGGAUGCUCAACUGAUUGAGCCAUCCACGUGCCCCCAAAGUCGUUUGUUUUAUAUCUAAAAUUAAGGUAUGGGAUGGGAAAGCAGGAAGAAAUAAUUCCUUUAGUGGGAAAGUACAUAUUCUGUGAUAAACAUUUGUAGGGAUUUUUCUAUCUGCUUUUUCUGUUUUCUUUUUUUUUUUCUUUUUUUAGUAUAUGUGCUGCCAAAGCAAGCAUUUUAUCUGCUUUUUUGAAUCCUAACAAUUUGGUGGUUUUGCAUGUAUUUUUAUAUUUUUACUGCUGCUGUCAUUAACCACUUAUCUUUCUCUUCCUCCCUUCAGAACGUACAUUUCCAUUUAUUCUCCAUUGCAGUCAGUUCACUAGUCAUUAUGCCAGAUGACCUCUGAAAGUAGCCCUAAAUGGACGUGUAAACAUGAUACGUGAAUAGAAGUGGCUCUGUCUGAUAUUUCUUUCGUACACAAAGUUUUCUUCAAAGCAAUGACUAAAGCUUUUUGCCCUUUUCAAGCCCUCCAAUCCUCAGGAAGUUAUUUUCAGUGAAGUGGUGAGAAGGAAAGAGUUCAAAUAGGAUUGAUUUAAUAGAGCUAUGAUGUGAAAAAUCUUGCAACACGCUGUCUGCCUGAAAUGGCCAAUCAUGGAAGCAUUAAAAUCAGAGCUGGGAAGUAAGCUGAGGCAUCCCAAAGAGGCACCCAAAUUAAAGAAUGACAGCAGCUUGCCAUUCCUGUGUGGAGAAAUACAAGUAUUAUAGGAUGAGAAAUAGCCAAAGGAACAUUUGAAGCAGUUAUCAUCUGUGAGCUACAAACAGCUUUAGCUACAAAUUUAGUGCAAGAAAAUUUCCCUCCUCCUCCCACUCCCCACCAAUGACCCAAGAAAUUAAAAGAAAACCUUCAUAUUUCUUUUGCUCAUCUGUCUACUUUCCUCCAUGGGAUCUAUUCUCUCUUACUUACUGAUAAUUUAUUCCUAUCAUCACAAAACUCUACUGUCUUUCAUACUUUAAUGGUGUAUUUGGUUUCUUUCUCUUUUGCUAUUAACUACUCUCAAAGAGUAUUGUUCAUCUAUGAGUUCUUUAAAGCUGCCUAUCAGGGCAUGACAAAUGUAGCUUCAGGGCAGGGGCUUUCUAAGAGAUUACUGCCUAAGAAGUAUGGCAAUGAUGGCAGCAAACAUAUGGGAUUGCAGAUUGCUGUAAUAGAAUGUAGGAUAACUAGGUAAAAUAUGAGUAAUGAGUCCUGCUAGGAUUGUGGGAGUGGAAGUACUGAAUCUUUGAGGGGUUGCCCCUUUCCCAAGGUCAUUUAGCCCAAUAAGCAAAUCUAGAAACUUAAUUAUCAGUGGUAUGACAUGCAUUCAUGAAAUGUGUAGGGAAUUCCUUUGUAAAUCAGAAUUCCAAUUAAAAUAAUAUAUUAUUACAAAUUUGUGUAUGAGUGUGUGUAUGCAAAUAAAGGGAAUGUCUUUAAGCAUGAAGAAGAAAAUAAAUAUACAAUGCUAUCACUUGGCGAGAACUACAGCUUUUAUGAUGUCUAGCUUUCCAACCUAUGUACACAUAAGUAUGUAUUCUUUAAAAUAAGGAAUCAUAAUAUGCACUUUGAUUUGUAACCUUUUUUGUCUGGAGUAAAUUGAGAAAUGAAGGAAGGAACUUGAGGAAGCAUGUACACAGAUCUUUUAAGAAGUUCCUCUGUGACUGAAGCUGGGGAAGAGGUUGGAAGGAGAGCAAAUAACUAAAGGAUUAGUGUAUUUGAGAUGGUGAGAAUGAAUGGGAUCUGCAGAAACUAUGGAGCCGGACUUGAUGGAGUGAAGGCCAUUCUUUGUUGUAAUGAGGAAGAAGAGGGCCAUGGACGCAGGUGGUUUGUUAACAGAAAAAGUGAUCAGAAAAUGAGGAAAGUCAAUGUUGGUGACUUGUCCUUGUUUUUUCUAAGGAAGCCCAAGGGAAAAUCUUCCAUUAAUUUAAAAUGAAAAAGGGGUAUGUAGGGGUGUUGAGGCAAGAAUAGAAUGUAUGAAAGUUUUCUGGGUGAACAAAAGAGUGACUUUUCUAGUACACUAUGGUGGAAUUUCCAGACAAUAUUGAGGUCCUGGUUAAAGUUCAUGAUCAUACAACUAAAAUAAGGAAGUUGGCUUUGUUGUGUAGCUUUUGCAGGAAUGUUUGGCUAUUUAGAUGAAAGUACAGGAAUACCUCAGAGACACUGAAGGUUUGGUUCCAGACCACUGAAAUAAAGUGAAUAUUACAAUAAAAUGAGUUUGGUGACUUCUUUGAUUUCCCAGUGCAUAUAAAUUAUGUUUAUUUAUACUAUUUUGUACUCUAUUAAGUGUGCAAAAGCAUUAUUAAAACAUAAUGUACAUAUGUUAGUUAAAAAAACACUUUAUUGCUAAAAAACGUUAACCAUCAUCUGAGUUUUCAGUAAGUCAUAAUCUUUCUGCUGGUGGAGGGUCUUGCUUUGAUGUUAAUGGCUGCUAACUGAUCAGGAUAGUGGUUGUUAAAGGUUGGGAUGGCUGUGACAAUUUCUAAAAUAAGACAAAAUGAUUUUAAAAAUCAGACUUUUAAAACAUUUUAUUUAUUUAAUUUUGAGAGAGAGAGGGAGGGAGGGAGGGGCAGGGAGAAAGGAAGACAGAGGAUCUGAAGCAGGCUCCAUGGAACAGCAGAGCGCCCAAUGCAGGGCUCUAACCCAUGAACUUUAAGAUCAUGACCUGAGCCUAAGGCAGAUGCUUAACUGACUGAGCCACCCAGGUUCCUCUAAAAAUGACUUUUAAAAUAAAACAACAAUGAAAAAAAUAAAGUAACAAUGAAUUUUGCCACAUCAAUUGACUCAUUCAUAAAUGAUUUCUUGGAACCAUGUGAUAACGUUUGAUAACAUUUUACCCAUAAGCAGAGCUUUUUUUCAAAAUUAGACUCAGUCUUAAAAACACUUUCUGCUGUUUUAUCAGGUAAGUUUAUGUCAUAUUCUAAGUACUUUGUUGUCAUUUCAACUAUCUUCACAGCAUUUCCACCAAGAGUAGACUCCAUCUCAAGAAACCAUCUUCUUUGCCCAUUCAUAAGAAGCAACUGCUCAUCCAUUCAAGUUUUAUCAUUAGAUGGCAGCCCUUCAGUCCCAUCUUAAGGCUCCACUUCCGACUCUAGUUCUCUUGCUAUUUUCUACCACAUCUGCAGUUACUUUCUCCUCUGAAGUCUUGAACCCUCAGAAUCAUUCAUGAGAGUUGGAAUCACCUUCUUCCAAAUGUCUGUUAAUGUUAUAUUUUGCCCUCUUCCCACAAAUCAUGAAUGUUCUUAAUGGCAUCUAGAAUAGUGACUCCUUUCCAGAGGUUUUCAAUGCACUUUGCCCAGAUCCAUCAGAAGAAUUACUAUCCAUGGCAGCUAUAUUUUAUUAAAUGGAUUUCUUCAAUAAUAAAAAGACUUGAAAGUCCAAAUGACUCUUUGAUCCAUGGGCUGCAGAAUGGAUGUCGUGUUAGCAGGCACGAAAACAGCAUUAAUCAUGUUGUCCAUCUCCAAUAGAGCUCUUAUGUCAUGAGGUAUGUUGUCAAUGAAAAGUGAUAUUUUGAAAGGAAUUUUUUUUUUUUAAUGUCAACAGUAGCUUUCAGUAAACCGUGUUGCUAUGAACAGAUGUGUUGUCAUCCAGGCUUUAUUGUCCCAUUUACAGAGCUGAGGAAGAAUAGAUAGUUCUUAAGAACUAUAGCAUUUUCAGAAUGGUAACUGAGUAUUAGCUUCAACUUCAAGUCACCAGCCAAUUAGCCCCUCAACCAGAGGGUCAGACUGUCCUUUGAAGCUUUGAAGCUAGGCAUUGACUUUUCCUCUCUAGCUACGAAAGUCCUAGAUGGCAUCCUUUUCCAAUAGAAGGCUAUUUCAUCUACAAUGAAAAUAUAUUAUUUAAUAUAGCCACCUUCAUUAAAUAUCUUAGCUAGAUCUUCUGGAUAACUUGGCUGCAGCUUCUACAUCAGUACUUGCUGUUUCACCUCACUUUUGUGUUAUGGAGAUGGCUUCUUUUCUUAAACCUCAUGAGCCAACCUCUGCUAGCUUCCAACUUGUCUUCUGUAGCUUCUUUCCUUAUCUCAGCCCUCACAGAAUUGAAGAGAAUCAAGGCAUUGCCCUGAAUUAGGGUUUGACUUAAGAAAAUACUGUGACUGGUUUUAUCUUUAUCCAGGUGACUAAAAUGUUCUCCAUAUCAGCAAUAAGGCUGUUUUUCUCUUUUUUGUUUGUUUAUUUUUGUUUUUAUCAUUCUUGUGUUUACUGGAGUAGUACUUUUAAUUUCCUCCAAGAAAUUUCCCUUUGCACUCACAAUUUAGCUAACUGUUUGGUGCAGGAGGCGUAACUUUCAGCCUAUCUCUGCUUUUAACAUGGCUUCCUCACAAAGCUUAAUAAUUUCUAGCUUUCAAUUCAAAAUGAAAGACUUGUGGGGUGCCUGGGUGGCUCAGUCGGUUAAGCGUCCGACUUUGGCUCAGAUCAUGAUCUCGCAGUUCGUGAGUUCAAGCCCCGCGUCGGGCUCUGUGCUGAUGGCUCAGAGCCUGGAACCUGUUUCGGAUUCUGUGUCUCCCUCUCUCUCUGACCCUCCCCCGUUCAUGCUCUGUCUCUCUCUGUCUCAAAAAUAAAUAAAGGUUAAAAAAAAUAAAUAAAAUGAAAGACUUGUGACUCUUCACUUGAACACUUAGAGGCCACUGUAGGGUGAUUAAUUGGUCUAAUUUAGGUAUUUUUGAGUCUCAGGAAAUAGGAAGGCUCAAGGAGAAGGAGAGAGAUGGGGAAAUGGCUGUCAGUGGAGCAAUCAGAAUACAUACAACAUUUAUCAAUAAAGUUAACUGUCUUAUACGGUCAUAGUUUGUGGUACCCCAAAACACUUACAGUAGUAACAUCAAGGAUCACUGAUCACAGAUCCCUAUAAUGAAUAUAAUGAAAAAGUUUGAGAUACUGUGAAAAUUACCAAAAUGUGAUAGAGACGUGAAGUGAUCAAAUGAUGUUGGAAAAAUAGCACCAAUAAAUUUGUUCAAUUCGGGGUUGCCACAACUCUUCACUUUGUAAAAAACAUAUUAUCUAUGAAGUGGGAUAAAGCAAAGCACAAUAAAAUGAGGUACACCUGUACAUAAAACGUUAAUGGGGGCACCUGGGUGGCUCAGUUGGUUAAGCGUCCGACUUCAGCUCAGGUCAUGAUCUCACAGUCUGUGAGUUCGAGCCCUGCGUCAGGCUCUGUGCUGACAGCUGAGAGCCUGGAGCCUGCUUCAGAUUCUGUGUAUCCCUCUCUCUCUGCCCCUUCCCUGCUCAUGCUCUGUCUCUC